AAAACCUUCUGGCAUUGCCACAGGAAGCUUACACAUCUGCUCAUGUCAUAGUGUUCUCUGUUUUUGUUGUUGUUGCUGCAGGAUGCUCAUGCCGUAGCUUACAGUACCAGGCAACAAUCUUCUGUUGAUUACAGUGCCAAAAACUCCAGUAGGCCGCGGGACUCCUACGCCGCUGGUGCCUGUCAAUGUCGCUGCCGAUGCCCUGCAUCCGAUUGGCUGCCAAGGAAUCCACCAACCCGUCCCAAUACACGUCUGUAUCCCACAUCAUGAGCUCCUCGAAGGUGAGCAGCUGGCCCAGCCUCGCCAUGUAGAACACGGUCUUGGUAGUGGAGAUGUUGUCAUUGUCAUUGCGGUCGAAGGUGUGGAGCAUAGGGCGUGAGCACCGGCAUGAUGGUGUGCGCCAGCUCGUCGAACUCGGAGGCCCGCUGACAUUUGCAUCGAUGGCGAGCAGCAGAAGGACUCCUCACCCGGCGGUCGCAAGCUUAGGGGGGUGGAGCGGGGCAUCGAGCUUGAGAUCUGCUGGCUCCUGUCACGUCAUCACUGACUCAGACCAGAAGAGUUCUGUUGUGUUCGGCGUCGCGCCCUCCACAGCCUGCGAUGGUGAUCACGAUGCCAAUGCAGAACGACGCGCCGACGCCUGUCGCUGCCCUGCAUCCUGCUCCGCGCUGUGACCAGUGCUGCCACCCUGCUCUGUGUUGUGCCCUCGAUAGGCGCCAUCCUUGGACGCCAUCUCUUCCAACCUCUUCUUCCCUUCCGGAUUGAUACCAGCGCCCAGCUUAAAAAAUGAUCCGUGUUGUUGGCACCAUUCCAAACUGAAAUCAAUUACAUACUCAAGGCAGUUCUAGAUGUCUGCAAGUUUGUGAUCUGCAAAUAUUAUAGUCAAAAGGAUUUCAAUUGUGAUAGGCCGUAGCUUCACUUUACAUCCUCAGUUCAGUUCUAGAUCUCUGCAAGUUUGUGAUUUGCAAAUAUUAUAUUAAAAAGGAUUUCAAUUAUGAUAAUCCAUAGAUUUACUAAUCCCACUGUUAUACUAUGUGUGCUCACUGAUGCAUGUGUCUUCAAAUUAUGAUAGGCUCUGUAGCUGGAUCAGGUGAAUCUGUUUUGUCGUGUGAAUACCAGUAAAGUGAAACAGAAGCAGCACACAGGCGCGUCUUCUUGCUUUUUUUUACUUGCCGUAGCUGGAUCAUUAGCUUAAACGCAAAGCAAUCUAGCCUAUUCCUUUCCCCCAUGAUAUCUCUUCUUAAUUUGGUAGAUCAUGUUUUUGCAAGAUGACAGCACCAUAUGUGUAGCUGGAUCAUUAGCUUGAACGCAAAGCAAUCUAGCCUAUUCUUUUCCCCCAUGAUAUCUCUUCUUAAUUUGGUAGAUCGUGUUUUUGCAAGAUGACAACACCAUAUGUGUAGUUGCUGACUGUCUUUAUAUCGCAAAAAUAUUAUGGUUUCAAGCAUCUACCUGUCUCUUAUUAUUAAUGAAGGACCCAGCCUAUUAUUUGAUUUUAAGUUGUUAGAUUCAUCAUAUAGUAUUUAAUAUUGGCAAAUUAAAUUUCGAACGUGACUAUUGAUGUUCUUAGGAAAAAUUUGAAACAUUUGCUGCUGGCAUUUGCCAUUCUAGGAGAGAUUCUAAACUAUUUUAUAUUUGAUUGUAAUAUACAAAAGCCAUAGUGCAGAAUUAAUACGUAAGUAAACAAUAGUCACGUUCCCUUGCUAUAAGAUUACCACGGUGUCCCUUGCUAUAAGAUUACCACGGUGUCGAGGUAUUUUUACCUUUCAUGAGUUAUUACUCGAAACCAGCCCAUCUCACCGUCCCCUCAAAAAAAAAAUCUCCCCGUCUUUUCCUAAUCUACUGCGGACGGUUUUUAUUUUAUACCGGGGGGCGUGCUGCUCGGCGGCGCGGUCUUGACGAUGGCGUGGUCGCUGGGGCAAUUGGGCGGCGUCUGCCUAGGUCUUGGGUGGCGCUGUUGCUGGUGAUCGCGGCGGCGCUCCAGUGCAUGGGUUGGUAUGUGACUGCAUCUCCGCUGUUUGGAUUGAAGUUUGGUUGGGUGUGAGUGCACGGGAGGAGGUGAGCAACCCCAAAUCUAGCGAUUUCCGUUCUAAAAUUCCAAUUAUCUCCCACUUACGUUUCCCUUUGUCAUUCUCUUUCCAAACUGUUUUUUGUGCAUCUGAGCGUUCCGAUCUGCUCGCUCCUGUGCCCCUCGAGGUCCCAAUUUGACUACAAGCCAGUGGAUGGUUCUCCCGAUGGUGGAAUUGAAGGGGCCCCAAUGGAUAAGGAUGUGACAGGCAAGCGGGAGGCCACCACUACCAGCGUCCUCAAGCUCUACCACUAAUCAUUUAUCUAGCACACAUCACCACCUGGGUUAUGUGGGUAUGUCCUAAAAAUAUGUAGUCAACCUUGCCAGCUCAAAUAAUUUUUAUUUGCUUCAAUCCCCAAUCUGGUUCGUAGCAGACAUGCAGUUAGUAGAAUCUUGCCUCCUGGUUGUAGAAUUUUUGGUCGAUUCGUUGGCUGCUUCAUAUUGUUAAACCAUGGAAUAAUUUCUGAUCCUUCGUGGACUGAAUUGUUGGAUUCUUUUCCCCCUUCCUGUCGUUCAUACAUCACCAUUUGUUUCUGAAACCAAGUCAUAUUUGCCGGAUUUCUAAAUUUCAGAGAUUGCAGAUAGUUAUUUCAAGUUUAAAAAUUGGUUGUAAUUUUGGUUCAUCAGUUGUACCAUAUGCAAACACAUAUCUAUGAUUCAUGAAAGUUUUUGUUCUGUCAAUCAGGGUCAUACUCCCUGCAGCUAGUAGCUGCUCUAAACAUUGUUGUAAUGUUACUACUUAAUACUUAAUAAUGAUUGUGGAGGUGCUGCUAACAUUUCCUACUGCAACAACAACAGAGGUAAAAAAUUAUGUGUGGGCUUCAAUGAUGUAAUUGAUUUCUAUUUGCCAUGCGUUAGUGUUUCCUAUCAUCUAGCUUCGGAUUUAAAGUAAAUAUAUAUACUUCCUGUUGGAGUUGAAGUAAGUAUCUCACGUUUGAGCUGCUUGUGUGCCAUUUUUUUUACCUGGGCCCUUAUUUUAAUCUCAGCUGUAGUUAAUGGCAACAAGCACCCACGACGCCCCUAUUUUAUUUACCUGGGCCACUAAUAUUAUUUCAGCUCUAUUUGGUCUUUGGAAAUGGUAUAUCUGGAAAUAAAGAACUAUGCGUGUCAUUCUAUCAUUCUGCAAAUUAGUCAAUUUUGUAGUUUCUUUCUUUUCCUCAGUGAUAUGCCAAUAUGUUUCAGCUCAGCGCAUGGAGUAAUUAGAUGGUCCUUCUCCUGUGAUUUACUAGAUUGUCAGCAAUGAUUCAAAGGUCAGUUCCUUUAGACAUAGAUGUGGAAUAAAGCAUCAACCUAUUUAAUAAUGUAUCCAUCCAUCUAGCAACAGGUAGCGUAACAAGCAUAAGUAGAUACUGACCCAGACAAAGAAACCCACUAAAGAGAUGGCAGUAGUCUUGGUGAGCGCUCUGAAUCUACAAAUUCCUUGAUCCAUUUUUUGUUGUUGAGAAAACACAAAAGACUUUUACGUUUCAUUGCAUUGAAAAGAAGUUUGGUACAAUCCUCCUAGGAGGCGAGUUUACAAGAUGAGUACAGGCACACUAGUGGACAUCCCAAGUCUGAGGCAGGAUGGCGCGGAGUCCUAUAGCACCUGCUCUGCCCGUCGGUUACUUCCAUGGUCGCUAGGAUUUUGAUCCAUUUUUACAUUAUGCAAGCAUAACAGAAGAGAUAAAUGUAGACACUUUUAGGCACAUACCCCAAAUAUGCCUGACAUUAGAUCCAGAUCAGUAAAUUAACAGUAUGCCAACUACACAUAGCAUUUCAGACGAAAAAAAUGUAGACAUAAAAUGGGAGCAUAGUAGCCAGACACUUCGAACUUCAAAUAUCAUAAAAUCCUAUAUAAAAAGGUAAAUUUCUAACUGAUGCUUGUGCAAUUUAUGUUAUCUUCUAGUUUAAUUCUCUGUAUGUAUAUGCUAGUAUGUAUAAGUAAAAAUAUGCAUGUGUUUGUUUUCCUCAGGGAAGAGCAUUCCUCUAUUUAUUUUAUCAUCUAAUUUAAUUCUCUUUAUGUAUACAUGUUAUAAGUAAAAAUCUGCAUGCGUGCUUUUCUCUAGCAAAGAGCAUUGUUCUAUUUAUCUCGGACCAUCAUGUCUCAUUCACUGGGUUGUUGGUAAGAAUAUGUCCAUGUUUUAAUGUUUUUUUGACUACAGUCUAUAGUUGUAAAAUCUGUCAUUAAGCUUCAGCACUUCACUCUUGCAAGCUUCUUUCAAGUGCGGUCGCCUGAGAUUACCCCAUUGGCUUUGACUAAGACUUCCAAUUAAUUGUUAGGUUGCUUAUCCUGAAGUUCAUGAUCCUGCAGGCGAGCAAAGGAUGUGAUAAGCGCAGUUUUGUCUCUGUAGUUUUGUAGACUUCAUUCAUCAUGACGAUUUUAUGGAGUCUGAACAAUGUGUAGCUGCAAUGGAGGUUCCAGGAAGACUUCAAGAUGCUAGGCAUCAACCAUUUUGAGGUCGUUUUAGCAAGACCUAAUGUUUCAGUGCAUAUAGCGCAGUGUAACAUAUCAAGUCAGUUUGUUUCUGUAAUUAUACGGCCUUGUCCAUAUGUUUUACCCCACCAUCAGUAUUUUGCAUGAUGCCCUAGGUAAUUUGUGUUCAGAAAUUUACAUUGUGUAUCUGCAUACUUGGCUGGCAAUAUCAUUACCUGACAGCCUCCGGACACAUUCCUAUAGAAUCUUAAUUCUCAAAAAAGAAACCCUAUAACCUUAAGGAGCUAUUUCAUUCCUUAAAAGUAUACUUUUGUUGCAGGGCCAGUAUAUUGGAAAUCAGGGGCAGAGCUCAGCCACCAGCUCCAUCUGUAUUUGCUUUCGUACCAAUAACUGGAAAGAUAAUAUUAUUCUCCUUGAUUUCACCGACAAUUGCAGCAUAUGACGCCAAUAUAAAUUGUCCUGCCAGUUCUUUAACAUAAUUAGGAGUCAGGUUCCAAAACAAUUAUCUGAAACUUACCUUUGACCAUCCUCACCUUAACUUUACAUCGCAC
rnacentral:lncRNA from 1 species